GACGAACGCUGGCGGCGUGCUUAACACAUGCAAGUCGAACGCGUGGCGAACAGGUGAGUAAUACGUGGGUAACCUGCCCUCUUUUUGGGAUAAGCCUUUGAAAACGGGUCUAAUACCCAAUAACGGGGGAUGGGGUCGCGGCCUAUCAGCUGGGUGGUGGGGAGGUGGCCUACCAAGGCGGUGCCGGGUAGCCGGGCUGAGAGGGUGACCUGGAACAGUGGGACGGGGAUACGGCCCAGAGUAGGACGGGAGGGAGAAGUUGGGGAUAUUGCAGAAAGGGUGAAGGACUGAUGCAGCGACGCUGAGUGGGGGAUGCAGGCUUUCGGGUUGUAAAAGUCUUGCGCAAGGGAACGGGUAGGUGGAGAAGAAGCGCCGGCUAACUACGUGCCAGCAGCCGCGGUAAUAC
rnacentral:rRNA from 1 species